UAUCCCUUUGAUUUCUAAAUUAUUCAGAGUGCUGAAUUUGUGGUUUACUUCUCAUAAAUCUCUUACAGCAAAAUUAUUGCAAUCAAAACUAAAUUAAUGAGCUUGAUCUAAGUAUGCUAUUAAAAUUAAAAAUAAAACUUGGUGUAGGUGUUGUGGCAUAGUUGUUAAAGCACUGCUUGGAAUGCCCACAUCACAUAUCAGAGUGCAGGUUUGAGUCCUAGCUAUUCUGCUUCCAAUCCAGCUUCCUGCAAAUGCACAUUGAAGGAGUGAAUGAUGGCCCAAGUACUUGUUUCCUGCCACCACAUGGGAUAUCAGAAUGGAGUACCUGGCACCUUGCUUCAGCCUGGACCAGCCCUGGCUUCUGUUGGCAUUUAGGGAGUGAACACCAGAUGGAAGAUGUCUCUGUAUGUCUCUGCCUCUCUCUGUCACUCUUUUUACUUUCAAAAAAGUAAAUGAAUAUUUAAAAAAUGCAAUGAAAACUUCAAUUAUAUUUAAACUCACUUGAAAGAGCAAGCAUUUUAUUAAUGUUCCUAAUCAAAAUAUUCCAUACGUCCAUCAUUACCUAACAAUCAAACACAAGGGUAUUUCAAAAAGUCUGUGACAAAUGAAAAUAAAAGUUUACUACAGUGCAAAGAAUUUUGGAAAACCACACACAGAUUUUUCAUAAUAUUCACUUUCCAUGAAAUUUUUAAAGUACCCUCAUAUAUGUUAAAUAUGGAAUAUUUGGUGUUCAAUGGCUGUUUAGUAGUAUUUGACUCAAAUAGCUUGAAAAUCCAGUAUAUCUAAUGUCAUCACUCUAGCAUAGUAAAAAUGUACACAUCCCACUAUUAAUUUAUUAAUGGUAAUUUAGAGCAGAAUAGCUUCAGAACUUGUUGAUUGUAGUUUAGACCAAAUCUUUUUAUUUUUUAAUAAAGAUUUAUCUUAUUUAUUUGAAAUACAGAGUUACAGAGAGAGGUAGAGAGAGAGGUCUUCCAUCAACUGGUUCAUUCCUCAUAUGACCACACCGGCCAGAGCUGCGCUGAUCCAAAGCCAGGAGCCAGGAACUUCUUGCGGCUCUCCCACGUGCGUACAGGGGCCCAAGGACUUGGGCCAUCUUCUACUGCUUUCCCAGGCCAUAGCAGAGAGCUGGAUCAGAAGAGGAGCAGCCAGGACUAGAACCAGCACACAUAUGGAAUACUGGCACUUCAGGCCAGGGCUUUAACCCACUGAGCCACAGUGCUGGCCCCUAGACCAAAUCUAAAUGGAAUAGCAAACACACAUGUGCACAGAUAAAAAAAAAAAAGGUAGUCUCAUAGUAAGCAUAAACAAAACCAGUUUAGAAUAAGCAGGUCAAUCCAACACAUAGAUGCUUUAUCAGUGCCUUUAAUUGGAUGAAAGGAGGUUUGCCACCACUCAAAUAUGAUGCUUAUGUCGGAGUGUUAUAAAACAUAUUCCUCUUAAGAGCAGAGGGGGGGAAAUAAUGAAAAGCAUGAUGGACCUUAAAUAACAGCUCAACAGUCAUGCUGUAUAAUUGCUUUUCAUCCUUUCUAUCAGCAGCAAGGCUUUAAAACAUUGAUCAAAGAUGAUGACUAUCACAAAGUGCUUAAAGUGCAGCACAUUGUUAAAUUUCCUCAGCCUCUGAAAUAAUUAUAGCAUGAGCAAGCACAAAGAUGAUUCCUCCACCUCCACCCACCUCAAAUGAUUUUCCAGCCAAGGUAGAUAGGAUUAAAGAAAGCUGACAUGAAUGAGCUAUAUUAGAACAUCAAUGUCAAAAGAUAUAUCAGAGGCACUUGCUUACAAAUGAUAAAAAUACCGUGAACAUUUCACAUUAAUGCACACCAGAAUUCAGUCAUUUUCCUCACUGACAAACACACUUUUGAAAUAUCCUGUAUAUGCAAAGCAUACACAAUGGAUGCGGAAAGUGCAGCACAGAGAAAUGAGAAGUGUUUAUUGAUGAUAUAAAGGAGAUAGCCCUCAGCUGCUAGAACUUUACAAAUAAAUAGAAGAGAAAAACCUUUUAUCCAUUUAUUUCAAUAGUAGGUAAAUAUACUUUAAAAUUAUGAUUAUUUAUUUGAAAGGUGGAGAGAGAUCCCACCCGCUGGUUCAUAUCUCAGAUUCUCACAGCAGCUGGGACCGGUUCAGACAGAAGCCAAGAGCUUGGCUCUCAACUAGGUGACAAGGACCUAAGCGCUCUGGCCACUACCUACUGUCUCCCAGAGUGCACCUAUCUGGAAUCUGCAUCCAGGAGUGGAGCCGAAAUCCUAACUCAGGGACUCCAGUAAGAGAAUUAGGCUUCCCAUGUGAUGUCUUCAUCACUGUGCCAAACAUCUGUCCCAGUAAAUGGCUUUUUAAAAAUAUAUAUUUUUAGUUUCUACUAGAUAGGUAUUCUACAUGUGGCUUUAUCAAAGUCUAGCCAUACUAAAUUUGCAUCACCUGAUAAACAAUGACUUAUUGAAAUCUACAUUACUAUGUGUAGGGACACAGGUGCUUUGUAGUUGUACUUUGGUCUCCAGGCCCCAACCUUUUGAUCCAUUUGAUUUCCACCCAACAGAAAUGAAGAACCACCUGCCCCAAGUGCUCACUCUGCUGUUUCUAAUACAGAGCAUCACCUACUUACAGUUGGAGAGAUUUGCAAGAGAAGGGAGAUCUGGUAUUGAAUCUCAACAAAUGGUAUAACUGGUUAGCUGUUUCAAUCUCCCUUAGUCUCCAGUAUUCUAUGGUCUGUCAGUUGGUGGAGGAACACAUUGCUGGUGGCAGUAAUGGGCCCAUCAGCGCUCAACCCCUGCCUUCUCUCUUUUCCUUACCCCUUCCACUGUAUUACCAUCACCCUCCAGAAAAAGUACUCUUGGAGUGAUUCUAAGUGCUUUUCUUCAGAUUAGCUUUUAGGAAAGAAGCUAAACUCACAGGGCGUUUAUGGUACUGAAAGUAAUGACAGAAACAGGCCCUCAAGAUGAGAAUUGGGAGCUGGCUUCCUCUCAGUCCCAGUGGCAACAAGGAUAUCACUAGUGAGGAUAAAUCAGAUCCUGAUUAUUGCCAGUUUGCUUUACUGCCGCAGGUUUGAUUCUCCACUGUGAAGUGUUAAAUGAGGAUCAGGUGGAACGAGAUGGGGACAUAGGCGUAAUAGCACUAACAUUUGGAAGCCACUGCACAAGGUAUUUCGAGGGCUUGCAGUGAGGUCUCGACUUUUUUAGUUGUUCCAGAAGCCUUAGUGCUAAAGAUAAUCAGGCUCAGCUCACUGCUGUUAAGUUAUGACCACCCCAUGCUAGAAAGUCCAGAAGAGUUUCAUAACAACAAAGGAAAGCCAGCCUAGGAUUUAAUCAUGGAGUUGAACUGUAAAAUACUCGGAAUGUUCAGCUUUUGGAGGCUUUCUGACGUCAGAGAGAGAUGCGGCGUUGAAUGAGGAGGACCUGAGAACUUGCAUGAGUCACUGGGAAAGAGCGACCUGCCAACUGCGACCGGUGGAUAUUCUUGAGCCGUGGAAACAUCAAGAAGCAGCAUUGUCGCUAUUGCUUGAUGGCGAGCUUCCUUUGUCCGAGGACAACGUAAAGAAAUGAGCUGAGAAGAAACCAGAUUGGUUACUCAGUGGAGGUCCCCCCAUUCUGUCUUUUGCUGAUUCCAGUGUUAUUGUGGUAUGUAACAUGUUCCUUUGUUUUCUGUAUUUCCUACAAAAUUGGAAGUCAGCUAUAAGUGGUAGCUCUGUCCAUCCUGGUUUUUUUUUUUUUUUUUUUGAAGAUUCAUUAAAGUUAUUUUGUAAGCAUAUUUUCAUUUUCCAUGAACGGGCUGUUUAUUUUAUGCAGCAAGAUUUGCCUUUAAAUUGGUAUUCUCCAUGCUUAGUGGAUAGUUAUUCUAGGUAUAAAUGAGGAAAAUAACUUUUAAAAAUUGUAACUGCAUUUUCUUGUUUGUAUGAUUUGAUGACAUUAUCUUUUUCUCUAUAGGGAAUGUGUCGAUUUUCCUGUUAUAGUUUUCAAAAUUUUUCAUUUGUGCAUUUCACCAAUCUGAAUAUAACAUACCUACGGCUUUUAUUUUGGGGUGUAUGUACAUAUUAUAUAGCAUGAAUUCUUAAGUCUUGUAUCUGUGGUUUGUGACAGAUUGUGUAAAGUUAAAAUUCUUCAAUUAUUCCUUUUUUAUUGCCUUCCUUAUGCUACUAACAUCCUUUACUUGCCCAUAUUAUCCUGCCCUGAUUAGAUGCUUAUAUCUGUAAUGCCUUUAUCAUUUUGUCCUCUUUUUUUCUUUGCACCUCCAUUUGGAUAACUUUUAUUAACCCAUGCUAUUUGAUUGUUUCCUUGAUUACAUUUUUUACUACUUUUAUUUUUUGUUUCUUAAAUUUCUGUUUUAUCUUUUUCAUAGUUCUCUGUUGAAUAUAUGUACCUGAUUAUUCAUGUUACCUAACUUCUUAAUUAGAACCUUUAAUAUAUCAAAAAUAGUUACAUGAAAUUUUCUGUCUGUGUUUAAAAUCUUUGUAAUAUUUGAAGCAAGUUCUCAUGACUGGUGUGGCUUUUUAGAAUAAAUAAAAAUUAUAUGUGUCUGUUACUUUUGUUGAAAGUCAAAUUGAAUAGGACUACUAGAUAUUGAGGUUUAAUUAUUUUAAAAAUGUAUUUUCCAAAGUCUUCAGUAUAUAUUAUGUUGUAGUGUUAACUUGCAUAUAAGGAGGGGGCUAUUUGCUAGGGAAUUUUUUUAAAUGCCUAAAUUUUUCUUGAUCUUGGGUCCAUUUUCUUGGCUUAGUAUCUUCUGUGGAGAACAUCAGAAAAAAAUCGCUUGCAGCUGUUCCAGUUGAUGUACACUGGUAUUUUGACAUGGUACUCGUUAGUAUAACAGAGCUUGAGGGGAGGGUGUUGUGGACAUUUCUAAAUGUACUGAUUAAGUCUCAGUAUUCAGCAGGUGCAGUGCCUCUAGAACUUUCUAGAUGUCAUAGUAAACACAGCAUGUGCUCCUUUGCAUCCCUAAGGUGCUGAAUUAUUGUCUUGUUUUCCUUUCUAUUCCUUGGGUAUUUCUGCCAACACCCUCAUGUUAGAGUUGAUACUUUGAUGUGCCUGGGUUGGUAUCAACAGUGGUUUUCUGUUGCCCUUUCAGAUCCCCUGCCAGAGGAAGCCUUGUAGAAGAGUAUUUUUCCCCCUGUUUUCUUGUUAGUGCCUCCUGUGGUUUUGGAAGGAAAAGUCCAAGAGGAUAUCAAUAUAUGCUAUUCCUGCAUCUCGCAUGUGCUUCACAUGUUCAUCAUCGCACACACUUGAUGAUUUAGUAAUUUGUUAAAUUUCGAGCUGAAUCACCUGAGUAGCUUAGUCCUGUUUCUACCUUUAAUCAUCUGCUGCUUUCCAGAUUUUAGGUCAGUUGUUUGAAAUCUCAGUGCAAUUACAUAAAGCAGUUAAUAUGCUGUUUUCUUGGUUUUCUGUUUUGUUUUUUGCUGGUAGAAUGGAAACAACAAUUCAGCCCUCAAAAAUCUCGGCUGAAACAAUUUCUUCUAGAUCCAUUUUGAAUUUAAAUUGUAUAGAAAGGUAUGUGAUUCAAUGUUUAGAAUCCUCAUAGGUGAUCCAAGUUUCAACUUUCUCCUUUAAUAUUCAUAUAACAUCAGGUACAUACUUGACCUCUGAUAGGUAAAAAGAGGAAACUGAUACUAACCUUAAAGGAUGGCCCAAGUCCUUGGGCCCUGCACCCCAUGGGAGACCAGGAGAAGCACCUGGCUCGUGCCUUCGGAUCAGCGUGGUGCGCCGGCCAUGGUGGCCUUUGGAGGGUGAACCAAUGGCAAAAGGAAGACCUUUCUCUCUGUCUCUCUCUCUCACUGUCCACUCUGCCUGUCAAAAAAAAAAAAGUACUGGUAAAAUUACAUGACCACAAAUAUGGAUUGAGUUCAGUAAAGCAUCAAUUAAAAUUAAUUUCAUUCAGUUCUCUUGCUAUGACAAUUUUUUUUUUUUUUUUACAGAGUGGAUAGCCCAUUCAUAGAAAAUGAAAAGUGGCACUUGGGCCAUCCUCCACUACACUCCUGGGCCACAGCAGAGAGCCGGCCUGGAAGAGGGGCAACCGGGACUAGAACCCGGCACCCCGACCGGGACUAAAACCCGGUGUGCCGGCGCCGCUAGGUGGAGGAUUAGCCUAUUGAGCCGCGGCGCUGGCCACUAUGACAAAAUUUUAACUUUGUAUUGGUGGUUUAUGAGUAUAUGUGUCCUAACUUAAUACUGAGUUCUCUGAAAGUUGGAUUAUUGCUUAGAUUAGAAUAAAUUGCACUUUCCCAGUGCUCACAACGCAGUAAUUUUUGCUGCAAUAUAUUUUAUGCAUCCAGGUGCAUUUAAAACCAAUAAGUAAGUCGUGCUUAGGAAAAGAUUUACCAAAUGUAUUUUAGGGAUGAAAUUUUCUUGCCAGAUGGCUAUUACAUUAAAUUGUCAGGGUAAUCAGCCACAGCGGGGAGAACUCUGACCACAAAGAGGUAUUCUUCCCUGGAGCUCUUUGGAUAGGGAUGAGUUAGAUCACAAGUUUUACAAUUAGAUAACCUUGAUAUUUCCUGAUUUUCUUAAUUUCUGUGGGGAUUUAAAAAUAUUACUUAACCUCUCUGUGGCUUCAUUUUUCUUCUUGUCAGUACUUUCCAGAAUUCUGAGAAUUAUACAUAAUUCUACUUCUAAUUAUAAUUCUAAAAAGACUAAAAAGGAAACUCCAGAGAAUAUUGGGGCUGUUCUGUUCUGUGCCUCCAGAUGGAAAUCAUUUAUUUAAAUUAAAUUAUUUUUAUCAUUUGAAACAGAGAGGGUGGGGUAUGUAUCUUCUACCCACUAGAUAACCCCACAAACAUAUGCCUAUAACAGCCAAGCUUGUGCAGACAAGAGCUGGGAAACUUGGGUUUGCCAUGUGUACAGUGUGUGACUCAAGUAUGUGAGGCAUCACCUGCUGCCUCCAAGGGUGUGCAGUAGCUGGGAGCUGGAACUGGAAGCAGCUUGAACCGAAGCAUGUUAAUGUGGGAUAUGAGUGUCCCACACAGGAUCUUUUUUUGUUUUUGACAGACAGAGUGGACAGUGAGAGAGAGACAGAGAGAAAGGUCUUCCUUUUUCCGUUGGUUCAUCCCCCCAGUGGCCGCUGCAGCCAGCAUGCUGCAACCGUCGCACUUCUCUGAUCUGAAGCCAGGAGCCAGGUGCUUCUCCUGGUCUCCUAUGCCCACGCAGGAUCUUAUCCACUGCACCAAGCAUCGUCCAAGCUAGACACUGAUAUUGUUGUCAUUUCUGAUUUUAGUGAACUUUAGUGCUUGAUAAAUAUAAAUUAAUUUUAGUAUCUUUUUCUGAGAGAAUCAUGUAAUUUUAUUAGAUACUUUAAAAAAAGGUUUUCAAUGCACAAAAGAAGCUAUCUAUUUUCAGAAACAAGGAAAAGACAGAUAUCUUAAUAAAAAAUUGGUUAUACGGAGAAUGUGAACUCUUUACAAACUCACUUUUUCCCUGAUCCAGUGGUCAAGUGCCAGAAAAUUAUACUUAAUAUUGUAGAACUCAGCCAAUUUUGAAAAUCAACAAAUAUGCUUGUGCUUUUCUCUAUAAAUUUUAAAUAAAGAUUAGUAUUAAACUUAGAAUUAUAUCCUGUUCCUCUUCCAAACAAUUGUAUUAACACAGGUACUCUGUCUAGGGGAUAGGAGUCUGUAUCAAAUAAUCUCCCAAGAUCUAUUCCCUUCCUCUAAUGAUUAAUUAGAAGGUACAGUAGUUUACUGAGAAUUCUAGGAGAAUUUUAAUGUUGAUAAGGUUGGGAUAGGGUCAAGAAAUUAUGCAGUGUCUUGUUUCUGUUUACUUUGCAUUUUUUUACCAACUUUUUUUUUUUUAACCUUUUGCCUAUUUUUUUCUAAGCUCCCCAUCUGGGGAAAUAGUGGUUUAAAUCUAUGAUGAUGGAAUUAUUGGCUCAGAUUUAUCACAUGUUUCUUAAUUACUAAGCCCAAAUUGAUCCACCCAGCCAGAUCUACAAACAAAUUUGCUAGAUAAAGUUAUGUCAACUGAAGGACAUGAAGAGAACUUCAAAAUAUUCACUUCUUUUUUUUUUUUUUUUUACAAUGUGAAGGAAGUGAAGAAGAAGGAAACUUUUGAUACUGUAGAAUCUUUAUAGUCAUAUGCUUUGAAGGGGGCUCCGGAGACUAUUGGGACUGUUCCAUUCCAUGCCAGUGACAGAAAUAAUAGAAAUGGAAUUUUAUAGCAAUGCUAGUGUCUAAUAUAUCCAUUUAUUUAAUAUAAAAUUUUGAUGACACGACUGCUUUAAAAACACUGAUUCAUACAGAACAUGGAUUAUGUUAUCAUUUUCAAUAUGGAACUCCUAUUACAAAGUCUGUCAGCUUUUUAAUGUGCUUAUAAUUUAUCAUAUAUAAAUAUUGUGUGUCCUUACCUUCCUUAUCCCCGUCCAAUUUUUUUCUAAACAAUACAAUAUCUAUGCUUUCGUGCUUAAGAUUUCAGUCUUUUUCCCUAAAACAGGCACCUAACCGACCAAUUGCAUAGAGUAUCAAGUUAGCAUAGUAAGAAAAUAUGCAGUUCAUCUGUGACAAUAAUUCUAUGAGAAGAAAAUUGUAAUGCCUUAGUAAAAAUGAUACAUCUUACACAAUAUUCAUUUAUUUCAUUGUAUUUAUUUAAAAGGCAGAACUAUAGAGAGAGGGGAGUGGGGAGAGAUACAGAGAGAAAGACAGACACAGACAAAGAUCUUCCAUCCACUAUUUCACUCCCCAAAUUGCCACAAAGGCAGGGACUGGGCCAGGCCGAGCCAGGAGCCAAGAACUUCAUUCAGGUCUCCCACAUAGGUACAGGGGAACAGGACCUCGGGCCAUCCUCCACUCUUUCUCAAGUGUAUUAGCAAGGAGGGGGAUCACAAGUAGAGCAGCCUGGCCUCAAAUGAGCACCUAUAUGGGAUGCUGGUGUUGCAGACAGCAGCUUAACCCCUUACACCACAGUGCUGGCUCCCAAUAUUCAUUUUUAAAGCUAUCAUUACAUGCACAGAUGUUGCUGAAAUUCAAUUCUGACUAGAUUCUGAUUUAUUUUGGAAAAUAAUGUUUUAGGGCCAACUUGGUUCUUUUCUAUCACCUCAAAUAUAGACAUUGAUAUGUUUUCCCUGAAUUGUGGUAACUAAUAUACAGAGUACAAAAAAUGUAACGUAUAUGAGCAAAAUUGACAUUUUGAGAUUUGAUUAUUGUUUAUAGCCCUUGUCUAUACUCUUGAGGAACAGUUGUUCUACUUGUUGAAUUCUGCAUUUAGUAGAUUAUAAAGUAAAUUGAAAGAAUAUUAUUAUAAACAUUAAAAGAAAAAAAAAAGGAGUAGGAAAUGUGGGAGCGAUGGAGGGAAGGAGUAAGAAUAGUGGGAAGUAUCAUUAAGCUCCUAAAAUUGUGUACAUGUAAUACAUGAAAUUUGUUCCUUUUAUAUAAGAGUUAUAUAUAAAAAGAGCUAGCAUAGAGCCCAACCAGACCAUAUUGCUGCUCAUGUAAGCCUCGUGCCCUCUUCCUUUCUUUCUUUCAUAGGACUUCAGUAAGAUACGUAAUCUUAUCUUUAAUUAGUGGAGAUGAUAGCCUACAUUUUGUUAAGGCUAUGGUAAAUUCAAAAUGUUGCUUCAUUAGACACAACAAGGUCUUAACGUUUUCAUGAAAUAUAUGUGGCAGAGUUUCAGGAAAUGUAAUGGACUGCUCUCAUUUUACUCAUGAGGGCAUUAUCCUCAUCAUCAGAAAUGAAUCUUAAAAGGAACAUAUGUUCAAUAUUUCUUUUGGUAGAAGAUGACAAUUAAAUAUCUGAAGGAGGAUGAGUGGAUCAAAGUGGAGAGGAAAUAGAGAUGGAUGUAGUCAGGAGUUAAAUAAGAAACUCACUCAUGAAAUUUACUUGGAAAGCUCUCAAGGAUAGAAAGUCUAAAGAGGAGUUAAUUAAAAUAAAUGUAAGCAUCACUGCCUAAUUGUAAUCAUUUUCCUCCUGUACCUACUUGAUCUCACUUUAAUCCUCACAUUCUAAAUAUAAAAUAAUGGUCAGCUUUAGUAAUUACUUUGCAAAAGCUAAUCCAUCAAUGACAUUUGAAGAAACUAAGGGAUCUCACAAGGAUUUUGUUUUUGUAAAAUAGAGAUUACUUCGUUACUUUUUAACCUUAAGCAUAAAUUGGACAUUGACUAGAUUAGUUUUCUACUUGGAAGGUGAAUUUUCAUAUUCCUGCAAUGUUACCUAGGAUACCAAGCCCUUGCUACAUUUAGACACCUGCAUAAUUGUUCUAUGUAUAUUAUGUCAGGUCACUUAUGAGGCAAAUAAAAGAAAAUCAUCUAGCAAAGUAACAUUCUAAUUAAAUGAUUUAAAAAUAAUAUUUUGCUCAUGUUUAAGCAUUUUCAAUCCAAAGAAAAAACUGUCUUUCUCUGGCAUGCAUUUUUAAAUCAGUUUAGCACUGAAUAAUGCUUAUUACUUGUAGUUUUCAACUUAAUGUAUUAUCAAAAUGUUUUAUAUUGAUGUUGAUGACAAAAAAUUCUUCUGUAUUUAUUUGUUGAAGGCAAUAGUAAUUUUUAAUUAAGCCUUUUGAAUAAUAUUUGGAUACCUAUGUUCAGGCAAAUGAACUAUGUAUCUAAUAAAAUUUAAAUUGUAAUAAAAUAUAAAUUGCAUUUCAGGACUAGAUAUUGUGCGAAAGGAUUCAGUGGUUUUUACUUACCUCCCUAGCCUGCUUGCUCUCCAGAAAUAUUUAUUUCAAUAUUAAAUAGUAAGCUUACAAACUCUAGCGCACAUUCCAAACUCUACUAAUACAUAAAAUACAGAUAACUCCGUUUUAAAAGCUAUCCCAGUAAGGUUUAAACAAUAUUAAUAUUUUGAUUCUCUUAGACUGUUUUUCAAUAAAAUAGCUGAAGGAAAAGUAGACUACAUAUCUCACUGCAUCACAUAAAAUGUAAAACCUAACCCUUAUAUUAUAUGGAAUACUAUUUUAUCUAUUUAUUUAUGCUAUUUGAAUGUGUCUUUCACUACCUUUCAAUUUACCCAACAUCCUUUAGCCAUACAGGCUGCUGUAUAGAUCACACAACAACCAACAUGAAAGUUGUUUUGUUUGUUGGUUUUGGUUGUUUUCAGUAGUUAUUUUUUCUGUUCAGAUUUUUAUAAAAACUGAGUCAGGAAAAAAGGGAGAGAGUCACAGGGGGAGAGGGGUCACAUUCCCAUUCACUGGUUACCUCUCCAAAUGCCCACAUUGACCAGGAUUGGGCUAGGCCAAAGUCAGGAUCCAGGAACUCUAUCCAUGUCUUCCAUGUGGGAGGCACAAACCCAGUUACUUAUUACCAUCCAUGUUGCCUCUUAGGGUAUGAAUGUACAGAAAGUUGGAGCCAGCUUCCAGAGCCAGAAACUCCAAUGUCGAGUAUAGGCCCUUUAACCACUAAGAUUAGAUGUCUGCUCCUGUCUAGAGUUUUUCUUCUCCUAGAUAUAUAACGGCGUACUUUGUAAUAGACAUCUAUUUCUUCAUUAAAAAUUUACCCCAAAACUAGAUGGUAUAAGGUAACACACAUUGGAUUAUUCAGUUUCUGCGGGUUGGCAGUCUGAGCCCCUGAGCUGGAACUGCCACAUGUCUACAGUCAAGAUGCCUUUCAGAUCUGGGAUCUUGUCUAAAGGAUUGAUGGGAAGGAUAUGUGUCCAAGCCCACAUUGCUGUUAGCAUGAUUCAGUCAGUACCUUGUUGCUUUGUUGAAUCAAGCAGCUCAGUUCCUUAAUGGUUGUUGGCCCAAGCUUCCCUCAGUUUCUUACCAUAUGGGCCUUUUCAUCAUGUUUGCUUUAUCAAAGCAUAAAAAUGAAAAAAGCAAUAAAAUUUUCUGGAAAACUGGAAGUCUCAGUCUUUGUUAUCCAAUUACAGAAAUGACAUACAAUUAUUUUUGUUUAUUGUCUAAAAGCCAGUAACUGAUACUCAGGAGAGGGGUAAUUACACUGAUGGUGAAUACCAACUGAGCAGAAUAACUGAAGGAUUGUUCUAGAAGAUGGCCCUACCACAGUCUAUAAUGCCUUUUAAGAUUCACUCUGAAAUUUACCUGCUCUGAAAUCUCUUCCUUAUAUUUUCAGAUAAAAACUGUUUCUCAGUCAUGUUUCAGAAUAUUACUAUUUUAUCAUUGGUAGAGCACUUAACAGGUUUUAUAAAUUUUUCUCAGGUUUUGUUUUCUGAACUUUCUAAAAGUUUUCAUGAUAUGAAAGUAUGAAUCUUAUUUAUUCUCUUUUCUUGUAUUUUCUCAAUACCCAUGCAGGGCUUGGUACAUAUUUAGCACUGAAUAAAUAUUUGCUGAAUGGAAUGAAUGGGUUGUGCUAAGAAAAGAUGCUAUAUAGAAUUGUGAUAAUAUUCCAACACAGCAAAUUUCUAAUUUUUAUUUAGAAUUAGUUAAAUGGUUCUCAUCUGUUAAAUCAUACUUCUUUAUAAUUUUUGAUAGACUUUCUUUUUUUCCCCCAUUCAUCCAUUGAUGAUUAUCUAUUCAACAUCUUUAGAAAACUUAAGUUGUAGACAAUCUACUGGGUGGUAGGGAUACGGUUGUCCUUGUCUUUAGGAAGUGUACAGUUUGGUAGCAAUCAGGCAAAUAACUUUGACACAAUCAUGAAGGUAAAUGAUUGGAAACCUGGAGGUAAAUGCUAAGAACAAAAGCUUUAGAAUUCAAGCAAAAAUUGACAAUGGUGCUGUUUCUCCUGGUGUGCGUAGACAGAGGUUCAUGAGAACACGAUUGUUUUAAAGAUUUAUUUCUUUGAAAGGCAGAGUGACUGAUGGAGAGGAAGAGACAGAGAAAGAGAUCUGUCUGCUGGUUCACUCCCAAAUCGCUGCAAAGCUUGGCUGGGUCAGGCAGAAACCAGGAGCCUUGAACUCCAUCCUGACUCUCAUGUGGGUAUAUGGGCCCAAGGAAUUGGGCCAUAGUCCACUGCUUUCCAAGAAGCACUAGCAGGGUGCUACAUUGAAAGUGAGGCAGCAGGGGGGCUAGUGCUGUGGCUUAGUCGAUAAAGCUACCACCUGCAGUGCCAGCAUUCCUUAUAGGCUCCUGUUUUUGUCCCAGCAGCUCCUCUUCUAAUCCAGCUCUCUGCUUGUGCCCUGGGAAACAGUGGAAAAUGGUCCAAGAUCAGCCUAGCUCUGGCCAUUGUGGCCAUUUAGGGAAUGGACCAGUGGAUAGAACACCUCUCUAUCUCUCUGCCUCUGCCUCUCUCUCUCUGUAACUCUGCCUUUUAAAUAAAAUAAAUAAAUCUUAAAAAAAAAAGAGGCAGCCAGGACUCAAACAGGUGCCCAUAUUGGAUGCCAGUGCAGUAAGCGGAAGCUUGGCUUGCUACACCACAAUGCCAGUCCUAGAGUACCUACCAUUUUAAGCAUUUAUAUUAUAAUGAGUGCAAUUAAGGUACCCUGUAAGUAUGUAUUUAUCUUCACACCAACCCCAUGAGAUUGUUAUUAUUAUCCUAUUAAAGAAGAAAUGGAAAAAGCUAAAAUUUUUGUAGUCUCACAAAGCUUGUGGGUGCAGUGAAGUAGAGAUGAACACAUGAGCACAUGCAUUUAAUAAUAAAAGCAGAACUUUGGAUUAAGGAAAGCUCAUAAAUGAAGAGUUUGCAUGUCUCACAAGCCCAUAUUUGCUGGGUUUGUCCUCACCUGGUAGAGGAACAUGCCAGGUCCAACACUAAGGGUCCAGAAGUAUCCCUACCCUAAAAUGGAGUCUAUCUUCAUAAGGGAAAUGUGAGUGCAAGAUGUAAUGCAUUGGUUGGUUAAUGUGAUGUGAGGAGAGUUCUAGCUAGGGAAACAGCUUUGUUAUAAUUUACUAAAAUUAUAUAUACAUACAACUUAUCUAAAAUUAUAUAUAUGCACACAUAUGACUCUGCUAAUAUCAGUAGAUACUUUUUUUAUUUCAAAGAAGUUAUUCAAUUUUGCAGAGCAACCUUUCUGUCAAACCAUGAAAAAGGCCGAAUAUAGAUACUUAUGUGACCAUCCAGGAAAUAAGGAGCUCAUGUCUCCCCACCAGCAGAUCAAGAUUCAGGCCUGGUCAGCUUGUCUUUGGAACUGCAUCUUUAGGCCUUUUGUUAGAGAUCAUUAGGAAAUGCAGUUGUUCAAAUAUGAUUGGUUAUGUAUGACUUUAAGUUGUUGAAUAGUGGGGUCUUUGAGAUAAGAAUUUAUGAUUAUUCACACAUUUUUCCCUUUUGAGUUUAGAAAUCAAGUCAAACACAGGAGUCAAGAAAUCAAGUCAAACACGGGAGUCAAGAAAUUGGCACCAGCACCGUGGCCCCCCUGGCUAAUCCUCCACCUGUGGCGCCAGCACCCCAAGUUCUAGUCCUGGUUGGGGUGCCGGAUUCUGUCCCGGUUGCUCCUCUUCCAGUCCAGCUCUCUGCUGUGGCCUGGGAAGGCAGUGGAGGAUGGCCCAAGUGCUUGGGCCUUGUACCCACAUGGGAGACUAGGAGGAAGCACCUGGCUCCUGGCUUUGGAUCGGCGCAGUGCGCUGGCAGUAGCAGCCAUUUGAGGGGGUGAACUAACGGAAAAGGAAGACCUUUCUCUGUCUCUCUGUCUCUCUCUCUCUCUCACUGUCUAAAUCUGCCUGUCCAAAAAAAAAAAAGGAAAUUGGCAUAAAAAUACCAGCAUCAUUACUUAUAGCCCUGAAUUGGAGAUUAUUCUUUUGACCUGUCACAAGUCUAAUAAUAUAUACAAAUGAAUCUGGGAUGGAGAUAUACAAUGCAAACAAUUUACCUAAAAGGCUGGUGAAAGCGUGACUGAGGAAAAAGGAGCAGUUGCAAUAGAAGUCACAAUGUGAUCAUUGGCUAUUUCUGAAAGAUGAUCCAAAGAUAUACUUUAUAGAUACAGGGGAGUCAGUCUUUUGGACUGAUCCUAGUCCAGUUAUUGGGUGUAGGAUUCUCCCUGAUGACAAGCUGGGAACUUGGUCCCUUUAGGUCUGUUUUUACAGAACAAUAUUGUCAGCAGAUCUUGACUAUAAGUUUUCAGCUUCUAGGUACGUGGCCCUUUUUGUAAAUUGAAUUCACAUACUUUGCAUAUCCAGUUUUGAGAAAACUUAUAAGAGGAUAGAUAAAAAUUGAGUUACUGCUCAUGACACCAUAGCUGGUCUCAGGUAUGUAAUUAUUCAUAUUACUAAGUUUAUUGUUUUUCUGCCUGAACUGGAUUGUUUACACUCUAAGCUGACCUCUCUGCUUGCUUUGAUGGGUCUACUCAUCAUACACUUCUUAGGUUGUCACUAAGAAGGGAGUAAUAGGAAAUAUUCCAAUGAAUUAUCUAGAUUAUAUAAACAACAAAUGUAUUCUUUCCUGUCUUAUUGUGUAAAUGAGCAGGCCUGCUUCCCUCUGAAAAUCUAGUCAGGAUGAUAACAUCUCUUCUGGUCUCUUAAUACAUAAAGUACAAUGUUUUAUAUGGCAACUGUGAGCUUAUUUUCCUCUUAAUCUGGUAGAAUUCUACCUGCAAUACCCAGGAGUUCCAUAUUGCAAACCCUCACUCCAAGUGAUACAUGAUGAAUUAGGCCAUUUUGUCAUCCCGGUUUCUCUGACCUAUGUAUUCUACAAAUUUUAUACACACAUAUGCAAAGUAUAUACAUUAUUUAGAGUUAUAUGUGCCCAGAAGAAUUGGUACCCAUUUUGGAGAAGUACCAUCUCCAACUGGAAGUGUUUAAUCUUAAAAGUCUGUUCCAUUUUCCUAUCAAGAAAAGUGGUUGCAGGGUGUGUAUUAUAUGACAGAAUAAAUGGAUAUCAUGAUAUGUGUGCUGAUGUGCAUCCUCUUCUAGAUUCGUUAUGAUGCUGUGAAUGAUCUUAUGUCAAGUGGAUCACUAUAUAAAUCUUUAUAUAGUGAUAUUGGUUGAAGUCCUGUAAGAAGAAAGGGAAAUGUAUCAGGUCCUGUCAAAAUGAAACUGCCUGAUACAAGGAGUCCAGUGUAAUUCAGUUGUCUUCAGGUCAUUCAUUUGUCUCUUCUGGAAGUAAUUCCCUAACGGAUACACAACACUGAAUUAUGUUGGGUAUGCAAAGGUAUCCGAACCCAGAUUAUCCAAUGCAGCCGAGUGUUCACAGCUCUAUUGCUACUUCAUUAAUAAGAGCAGUGGGGUUGCUGAAGACAAGUGGAUUGGCUUGAAUUUGUCAUGUCAAAGCUCUCCCCAUUUUAGAAUAUUUCUCCCCUCUACUGGCUUUCAGGGACAUAUCUGAGUGUGGCUGUAACAUAGAAUAAGUGCAUAUUCACUUUGCCUCCAUAUGUAAGGGGUAGGCAAAAGAGUCAUAGAAAAAUACACAGUAUGUAAAAGCCAUGCAUGGAUUUAAAAAUUGUUUUUGCAUCAAGCUAAAUUUAUCUUUUAAUUUAGUUUGCUAUGACAUUUUUGAAGUACACUCAUGUAAGCUGAGCCAUGUAUGAACUAAGCUCAGACUUGUUCUGCUCAUAUCUAUUUAAAGUGACCCAUACCCUAUCAGUGCCAUAAAGAUUUAAGUGACCGUAUCCAUGUGAGAUGGGGGGACGUAUUGGGACAACACUGGGAAAGAUGAGAAUCUGAAUCACUUGAUUUUAGAAUCAAUUUAUGGACCUAUCUGUACCUUAUAUGUUAUGUAAAACUUUUGUCUUAGGAUGUGUUUGUAUGAACUUUUGACUUGAGAGGUGUAUAACAGGACCUAUUUAUGAUGGGUGUUGUCACUUGCUAUCCUUUAAACAGGCUUUCCAUCUUUACUAGUGCACAGUAGUAUAGCAGGUGCUGUUUGCACAUGGUGGAUAAUUCUUCACUUCCUAUGCCAUUGCCUUGAUACAGAAAGUUAAACAUUACAUUAUGGUGCUCCUGUUAGGGCUUCCAUACUUUCUAAGUGAUGUGAUAUCUAUGCAGUCCUAUGGCCCAUGUAGAAGGCCCCCUUGCAUUAUUCUCAGUCUGUGGCAGAUACCUUUUCUGGAAACUGAGCCUUCAAAUCACUUGGAAAAUAGGUUAUAGCAGUAACACCAAAUGUGGUAUAUGCUGUAUUCACAAUACAAAAAUGUCUGUUAGGUUCUGCACUUCCUUUGUAAUUGUGGCUGGUGCAAGAUGAAAUGUGUUGUCCUGUAAUUAUGAGAAAAUGUACCCCAAGGCUUUGGAUCACUGAAAGCAUUAUUGAUACUAUAGGUCCCCAAAGCUUUUUAGUGAGUACAUCCCACCCUGCAGAUCAUACAGAAUCUUACCAAGUCCUCAAACCCACUUUUGCCUCUUGCUCAGUUGAUUUGAUUACCAUGCAGUUGGUCUAAUGGACCAAUUUGAUUAUCUACAGGAUGCCUAAGACUGUCCGGAUUUCUUGGGAGUAUUCUAUGAGACAAGAAGAGAGAAAUAAUGUUGACUUGGUAUACUCCAUGUAAAUGUGAAGUUCUUUUGGUCUUCUUUUAUAGUAAUAUUGAGGAAGAUUGCAUUAAUCACAUAAAGGAAUACACAGUAUAUACCCAGAUCCAUAUUACUAUCCUCUUUUUUUAAAUUUAUUUGACAGAGUUACAGACAGUAAGAGAGAAAGGUCUUCCUUCCAUUGGUUCACUCCCCAAAUGGCUGCUACGACUGGUGCUGGGCCGAUCCGAAGCCAGGAGCUAGGUGCUUCUUCUUGGUCUCCCAAGCAGGUGCAGGGCCCCAAGCACUUGGGCCAUCCUCCACUGCCCUUCUGGACCACAGCAGAGAGCUGGACUGGAAGAGGAACAACUGGGACUAGAACCGGCGCCCAUAUGGGAUGCCGGCGCCGCAGGCGGAGGAUUAACCCAGUGAGCCACGGUGGUGGCCCCCAUAUUACUGUACUCUUACAGAGAUAGCUUCUCUGGUUCAACAACAAUCUGGAUUAUUUACUUCAAUUUAAAGUCACUAAUUAUUUCCUAUAGAUUUUUUCAUUGUUUUUAAAAGGGCUGGAGUGGUGAAUAAAUGAGAAUAUAAUGGAGAUCAAAAUCCUGUUACUUUUAAGGCAGCACCAGCCUUGUUUAUUUCUUCAGGUAUGUGAUAUUGUUAUUUAAUAACUUAUUUAAAGAAACGACAGUUAUGUAGGCUCACAUAAUAUGCUACCUCAUAUCUUACAGGCCAAGGAAACCAUUUGGGUAUUAUGCUAACAAGGAUGUCAGUUAGACCUUUAGCAAUUCAGCCAGUGAAGACAAGGUAGCGGUUUUGUGAACUUAGUGAUCCCUAUCCUGUUAAACUUGGAUCAUUUCUAUAAUUAUGCUCGGACUUCCACUCCGGCAAAGUUCAAAUUUGCCCAGUGUAUGGUUUCCUGAUAAAUAACCUGAAUACUUUUUAGAAUGGGGUAGGAGAAUUAUAAUUAUUUACAUAUAAUUUGGCUUCUCAGAGUUGUUCUUUAUAGGAAAUUGAGCCCUAUUUUAGUCAACAAUUUAAAUAUUUUGUUGGAAAUCUGACCUUGCUCCAGAGUGGGUACAGCAUCAUUAGAUUUAAUGGUUCCCAUGCUGAGGCUCCUGAUGACAUAUCUGUGAUUCAUCGGAAUUGUACAGAUUGAGCUAUCUCCCAUGUCAUAUAUUUUAUAUAUAAAUAUACAUACAUAUAUACAUAACUAAUCUUUGACUCUGUCUUAUUGAAGUCUGUGUCAGCUUCCAUCUUGAUUUCACUGACACUGAUGUUUACUACAAUACGCACAUUUGUUCUGAUAGUUAAGAAUCAUCCCAUGACCUUCCUUCAGGAACCACUCAUUGGCGUUCCCAUGGCUAUACCUGAAAACAUUUCUGUAUCAGCUUAUCCAAUCACCUUUUGUACAGAGUCUGUGGAGAAACCAAUGCUCAAUUUCUCACCAGUGAACACCUUGUUGUCUGGAUGAAUGGAUUAUCCUUCAGGUCUUCCUUAAAAUACACGUGAUUGGUGCCAUCCUUGUUGAGUUAUGUUGUCACUUAAAAAUGUAUAUUUUCUGAUGGACAAAGUGGGAGAAGUGAUGGGGAUUCUGAGGAAGACAAAUCUUAUAUUUUAAGGAAGUGACGGGAAGGUUUUUUUUUUUUAAACAAGGGGCAUGCAAAAUUCUAACACACUUCCCCAGAGGAUUCCGAAGAGCCCCAGAGUCCAAGAAGAUUUAAGAGAUUUCACAAUCUCAGUAAUUCCAGAUCAUUUUUUUGUGCAUUGAUGUGCACAUCUCCAACCCAAAUAUAAGGAGCCAAGUCUUGCACAACAAGUGCUCUGAUCAUGGUGUAUUGGAAUUACUAAGACUGAAGGUUGAAUUUUCUCUGGCAGCAUGUUACAACUGUAAAUCCUGACCUUAAGGUUUAGCUUUGUGCCUCUAAGUAUAGGAGACAGAGGUGUACUUUAAAAAAGGAGAUUUAUUUAUUUGAAAGGCAGAGAGUCAGAGAGGGUGGGGGAAGGAGGGAGGGAUGGAGAUCCAUCUUCUGAUGAUUUGCUCCCCAAAUAGCCACAAUGGCUAGGGCGAGGCCAGACCAAAGCCAGGAGUUAGGAGCUUCUUCCAGGUCUGCCUCAUGGAUGCAGGGGCCCAAGCACUUGGGCCAUCUUCCACUGAUUUCCCAGGUGCAUUAUAAUGCAGGGAGCUGGAUUGGAAGUGGAGCACCCAAAACUCAAGCCAGUGCCCAUAAAGGAUGCUGGCAUCUCAGGAAGCGGCUUUACCUGCUACACCACAAUUCCAGCCCCAAAGUUGUACAUUUAAGUUACCAGGAAAUACUAUACUUUAAAUCACCGUCAUGUAUUGGUGGUAAAUUCACCUGCACUUGCUGUUCUCCACUUGGCUGAUCAUUGUUAGUAAUGCCCUUAGCAAUUAUAUUUCUCAUAAUUUCUAUUCUCCUGAAACUCUCAGAUAUCUAAACUCUUGAUGCUUCUGUGUAGUCCAGUUCAUCCUUGGGAUACCAGUCAGUUCAGCAUUGGCACUUACCCUGCUAUCUCAUGACAGAGACCAUCAAUAUUUCACAUACCUCAGCAAUGAGACUCUUUGUCAACUAGACAUGAAUAGUCCAUCUCCCGAGUCUCGUUUUUAGAAAUUGUUUCCUCCUCCUCACACCUUUUGGCAUAAUCUUGGUCUCAUAGAAAACAAUCUUAAGAAUAUUUUGCAAAGCUUUAUGGAAUAAUAUCUUUAAGCUCUUCAGAGAUAACUUAGAUUGAAGUGGUAGGGAUGAGGAGGGGAGAUAGAGAAGGAAGCUUUGUACGCAAGCAUUAAAUAAUCACUGAAAGCAAACUAGGGGAAGGAAAAACAAUUUUGAGUAAACAACUCUUUUUGUGUAAGAAAAUUUUUCAGGUGAUUCAGCUAUGGCCUAUUCGAUAGAUAACACUGUCAGUCCUGAAGGGAGUACAUGAGAAGGAUACUGCAGUGUUUAUAAUUAUAUCCAUGGUGAAAUGGUUUUACUACAACUUUACCUGUAUAAUCAGAUAUAAUACCUAUUUCCUCCUCUUUUCUACACACACACACACAGCCUUUAUGUGAAUAAGGGCUGCCAUUGUACUUUUCCACAUAAUUUCAGAACCUGCACAUUUUGAAGAGAGUUUAUUUAAAGGAUGACAAAAUACUGUAAUGACUACAUUAACAUUAAUUGUUCUUUUGUGCUAUCUUCCCAAUCAUAUAAAUCACGCUUUUCCCAUGGAAAGGAGGAGCAAGCAAUUAGAGUGCCCAGCAGAAGAAGACAAAACACAAAAUGAAGACGUGAGAAUGGAAUACCAUUGAAUACUCUCUAAUUGUUUGUACUCAGUGCACCUCAAACCUAGCAGUAUAUUAGAUUAUCUCAAAUAGAUUCUAUAAUGCACUCGUAACUGGUCUCAGCACUGACCAGUUAAGUCAGAAUCUCAGACAAUGGUUCUGAUCCACUUCUACGUUCUAAAUGCUUAAUAAAUAAAUCUAAAAUCAGUAAUUACAGUUACUGAUUAUGCUUCAAUCAACCACUGCUGUAGCUGCAUCCCUGAACCAGAGGAGACCAGCUGUCAUAAGUCAAUGUUUAUAAUCCUGCUGGACCAGUACAAAUCAUUGCUCCUUUGUGAAUCUUUUUGGAACCAUUGGAAGACAAGUUUCUUGUUUGAUCCUCAGUAGGCUAUGACACAGAUGAAGAAUGCACUGCUUCCUGAGCAGAAAGAGUAAUCUUUAUUCUAUCUUCCAUCUUGAAUUAUUCCUCAAAAAGUGUUAUGAGUCUAAGUGGCAACAUAAAAAUUCUAUGAAUAUUUUAAAAUUAAUGAUGGUAAAAAAUAAUGAAAUCAUUGAGUCCUUUAAAACUAUUAAGAGUCCAUGGAGAAAUUAAUGUUCAAGAAAUAAAUUAUCUUCUCUGUUUAAAUUAAGGAAAUAAAAAGUCCAUAUAUGUUAAACAAGUGCUAAAUUAAAAGUUUAAUUUUUGUUCUGUUAAAUCUUUAGCUAAAAUAAUAUCACUGAGAUAUUUGGAUAGUAUCAUCAUUCUUUCAUUUCAAUAAAUAGAACCUUACAAGAACUUUGAAUAUGGUCUUAUCUCCAAACCUCUGAUAUGUUCAACAUUUUAAAAUCUGAAGGACUUCUUACAUAGCUUAAAGUUACCAUAUAUUAUUCUUCAUAAGUGCAAACUCUAAACACAGACAGCAGUCCUUACAGAAUCACUUAAUGUUCCCAAAGACCAUGGGAGCAGCAGGUGUUUGGAGCAGGGGUUAGGAUGCUUGUAUCCUUUAUUUGAGGGACUGGUGAAAUCCUGGCUGCCCUGUUUCUGAACCAGCUUCCUAGAUUAUGGCUCGAGUACGUGGAUCCUUGCUACCCACAUUGGACACCUGGAUGGAGUUUUAUUAGACUCCUGAUUUUGGCUUGGCCCAUUGCUGACUUUUGCAGGCAUUUUGGGGGAAUAGGAGAUUGAUCUCUAUUUCUCUCUGCUUCUCGAUCAAAAUGAAAAUAAAUAAAUAAAAAAUUUUUAAAAGACCAUAGCAGAGAAUUAGUCAUUUCUGAUGGAAUGAAUUAGAGGAAAAAAAAUUCUGGUUGUAACCUUGUCAGGAUGAAUAUAUCUGUACAAGAUUUCCAGAAUCCACAAGUCAUGAAUUUAAACUCAAUUAAGAUAAUUACCUAACAGGAAGUUAAAUGUUAUGAAUCCAUCCAAGGGAUUAGAAAACUUCCCAAACUUCCCUGCUGUUUCAUAUUAAGCAUAUUUUAGAAUCUAUUCUCAUGAUGUAUAUUUUAUAUAACAUAUCCAUUUUCCCCUGUAGAAUUGUAAUAUGCCUUGUUGAAAUGUAGAUUUUGAAUUGAUAUAUUUGGAUUUUGGUCUAGGAUUGUCUUAUCUAAUGAUCUCCUAGGGCUUCCUGAAGACAUAAUUCUGAGGAUAACACUUCCAGUACCCAUGCCUUAAAGCAAUGAGUCUCAAACUAGAGAUUCUUUAGUAGAAGCAUAAAGAAUACCUGGAAUCUUGUUAGGAACCCAAAUUCUCCGACUGCAUACAAGAUAUUCUGAGGAUUGGGUCCUAGUAACCUGUCUUUUAAUACUCUUUUAACACAUUAUUCACAUUAUUCUGGGAACUACUGCUUAAGAAUAUUGCUAUUCUUUCUUUCAUAGCCUUAUUGAGGGGUAAUUGUUAGAAAUUACAGAUAAGUACACAAUUUGCAACCAUCAAUACGAUCAAGAUAAUGAACAUAUCAAACAAUCCUCUCCCUCUCCCCAAAUAAUAUAUUUCCCCUUGGUAAUCCUUGGCCUGCUUUAAACAUCUGUUGCCGCCCCUUCCCCAAAAUGAAAGUACAAAGACAAAUUGUCCUAUUUUGGGCUAUUACAGAUUACUUUACCUUGCAUAUAAAUAGUUGCAUAUAAAUGGGUGCAUAGAUACUAUGUGCAUUUUUGGGGCUGGUGGGAAUGAGUUUGCUUCCUUUCACUGGUUUGUGAUUCCUGUUGUGAUAGGUGUCAAUGGUCUAUUCCUAAACUAUUUUAUUCUAAUUAAUAUUUGCCUAUUAAACAUUUGGAUUAUUUCUAGUUUUUAGCUAUUACAAAUAAAGUCACUAAACAGGUGUGUGUAUAUAUACAUACAUACAUAUUUCUUUAUGGACAUAUUUUUGCUUUUCUCUUGAAUAAAUAACUCAGGUUAGUAUGGUUAGGUCAUGGGGUUGGCACUGUGGCAUAGUGGGUAAAGCUGCUGUCUACAGUGCCAGCAUCUAGAUGGGCACCAGUUCAAGACCCAGCUCUUCUACUUCCAAUCCAGCUCUCCGCUAUGGCCUGGGAAAGCAGUAGGUGAUGGCCCAGGUCCUCGGGCUCCUGCACUCACUUGGGAGACCCUGAAGAAGCUUCUGACUCCUGGCUUCAGGUUGGCCCCGGUCCAGCUUUUGUGGAAAUUUGGGGAAUGAACCAGCCAGAUGGAAGAUAUUCUCUCUCUCUCUCUCUCUCUCUAAGUUUACCUUUCAAAUAUAUAUAUAAAUCUUUAAAAAAAAAAUGGUUAGGUCAUGAGGAAAUUAAUGCUUAGGUUUUUAAGACACAAACUUUUCCCAAUGAUCAUAUUUUGCUUUCCUAUCAGCAUUUUUCCUCAUAUUCUCCAACAUGAUGUAUGUAUGUUUUUUUUCAAAUUUUAGAACUUCUAACUGGUUUAUAUUCAUUUCAUAUCUAUACUCAUAUUUUAAGUUACAUUCAUCUAAUUAACAGAAUUGACUAUUUCUCUCAGCUUGUUUUUCCAUCUCUAAAUCUUUUUCUUACAUGCUUGCUUAUAGUAGAUUUGUACAUAUUAUCUAUACAAGUGUUUCAUCAGAUAUAUACCUUGCUAAUAUUUUUAAAAUUAUUUUUAUUUGAAAGGUGGGAAAGGGAGAGAAAGAAAGAGGGGAAGAGGGAGAGGGAAAGAAAGAGAGAUCAAUUGACCUCUCAUCUUUCAUUUCUCUCUCCAAAUGUCCACAACAGCCAGAGCUGGGCCCAGCUAAAACUAAGACCUUGGAAUUCCAUCUGAGUCUCCCUUGUGGGUGGUAAGGAUUGAAGUACUUGAACCUUCAUCUGCUGCCUUUGAGGAUACAUAUUGGCAGAAAGCUGGAUCAGAUGUAGCGUAGCCAGCAUUCAAACCAGGCUUUCUGAUAUGAGACACCGGCUUAGUAAGCCGUGGCUUAACCUGCUGCAGUACCUAACCUAGUCUGUACAUACAAGUUAAUGUGAGAUGAACUAUAUACAUAAAACUGAAAGGCAUAAAACCUAUUUAAGAGAAAAUGUAGAAAAACAAUGUAAUACCUUUUGGGUAAACAUUUUUUGAAUCAGAGCACUAAGCACAACCACACAACCAUCAAAUAAAACAUAAAAUAGCCUUUGAAGUUUUAAUGUAAUCAUACAGAUAGGAUUAAGUGUUUGGCAAUAAUAAUAGAUAUAGUUAAAAAGGAGGCCAGCGCCAUGGCUCAAUAGGCUAAUCCUCCACCUAGCGGCGCAGGCACACCGGGUUCUAGUCCGGUCGGGGCGCCGGAUUCUGUCCCGGUUGCCCCUCUUCCAGGCCAGCUCUCUGCUGUGGCCCAGGAGUGCAGUGGAGGAUGGCCCGAGUGCUUGGGCCCUGCACCCUAUGGGAGACCAGCAGAAGCACCUGGCUCCUGGCUUCAGAUCAGUGCGGUGCGCCGGCCGCAGCACGCCAGCCACGGCGGCCAUUGGAGGGUGAACCAAUGGCAAAAAGGAAGACCUUUCUCUCUGUCUCUCUCUCCCUGUCCACUCUGCCUGUCAAAGAAAAAAAAAAAAAAAAAGGAAUGAAUGCUCCAACAUAGGAAGCAGUCCAUAAAGCAGACUCACAGAAGGACAAUCACUUUAAGUAGCAAUCUGACCUCAGCAUUGGCCCUUAAGGGAUUCUGUUUUGGCUGAAAAGCAAAUGAGAGCAUUUCAGGCAUGGAAAGCCAAGACACUGUAGCAAAAAGUGUCCUACAUGAAGGACUUCUGUGGGUGAGACACCAGUGGAAAAAGUGUGGCUAUCAAAGAAGGAUGUACUUUUCUCUAAAGGGAGGAGAGAACUUCCACUUUGUUUAUGGCCUUGUAUAAACACUAAAGGAGUUUGUGGAUCCAAAAGACUUACAUAGUCUUGGCAGCUCAUGUCAGGAGACUCAGGUGACCACUGACAUCAUACAUAAGGGUGUUAAUUGUUAAAUUAACAGUGGAGUCACUGUGCACUAACUUCCCAUGCAGGACCUCUCUCUUCAAGGAGUUGUAUCAUGAGUCUUAAUAAUAAAACUUGUUCUCAAAGAUUUACAUUGUUUUAGUGUAUUAAAUGGAGGAUAUUCUUAUGUCUCAUAAGAGAUAGUUAUGUCUAAGUGCUCACAAAAGUAUCAUUCUUGGGUCCUUCUUUAAAGCUAAUUAAGUUUCUCAAAAACAAUGCUUAAAAAUGUGAAAUUAACUUCAAGAUGCAAUGACUUUGAACAGCCCUUGUCUCAACUGUUUAGGAAAAGGGUUUUUUUUUUUU